CGUGUAGGCGGCUUUGUAAGUUGGGUGUGAAAGCCCUCGGCUUAACCGAGGAAGUGCGCCCAAAACUGCAUGGCUUGAGUACCGGAGAGGGUGGCGGAAUUCCCGGUGUAGAGGUGAAAUUCGUAGAUAUCGGGAGGAACACCAGCGGCGAAGGCGGCCACCUGGACGGAUACUGACGCUGAGACGCGAAAGCGUGGGGAGCAAACAGGAUUAGAUACCCUGGUAGUCCACGCUGUAAACGAUGAGCGCUAGGUGUUGUGGGUGUUGACCCCUGCAGUGCCGCAGCUAACGCAUUAAGCGCUCCGCCUGGGAAGUACGGCCGCAAGGCUAAA
rnacentral:rRNA from 1 species